ensembl:lncRNA
AGCUUCGCUCAGCAGCUUUGUUUCAAUCAGCGGCUCACUGACUCCUGUUAAGGAAGCAAAGAAGCUGCACAAGUUUAGAGAACAGACGCAGAAGUUUGUUUGAAUCUCAUCCUCCGCUAGUUCUCUUGGCUUAUUUCUGGACUGGAAACCGGACUUUUCACGCUGAUUUUCUGCCUGAUAUGGGACUGAUUCUCUGACACCGGCUCGUUUCAGACUCCCACUGACUGAGCUGCUCUACAGUUUGCUGCUGGUCGCCAGAAAACGGACUAAUUUGGACUUUGGGGGGAAAGUUUGCGCCACUGAAGUGGUAUGAAUAAUCUGUGUACAACCAAGUGAGUGCUUCUGGUUCAACAGCUGCCUCCACCUGUCCAGUGCUGCUGAGACCACCUGAUCAUUUUUUUCUUCUCUGGUUUGAUAAUGCACUCAGAGCAAAUCUGCUCCUGUUUUCUUGGGUCUAAGUUUUUUCCAUGGCUGGUCCUGUUUUGAGUCGGUAACCGCUCGGCGCCAAGCUGGACCCGAGGACUGAGACUCCCCACACCUGUUCCUCUGCCCCGCCCCCGAAACAGGAACACAUAUCUCAGCUACACAACGCUGGGCUCCGAUUGGCCUGCGAGGAGGAGGAAGAGGAGGAGUAUGUCAGUGAGGCGUGUCUCCCCGCCGCUCUCCACAAGUUCACAAGCAACUACAGAGAUGCCGAGACCAUUACUGUUUGGAAAAGAAGAAAUCACAGGGAGCCAGAUCUGGUGAGCAGGACGGGUGUGCUGAGCAACCUUCAAGUGCUUUGCACAACUGAAAUGAAGGUUUGCACACAUGGUGCAGAGCUGCUACUCACCAUCUACUGCAGCUUCAAACGUCAAGGAUUCUUGUAGUGAAGCUGAUGUAAAUCGUUUCUGGAAAAGCCC